AUGAAGAUGACAGUGCCUGAUAACAUCUCAAAUUUGCUUGCAGUCAAGGACUCGAUGCUUAAAACAAAUACUGACGCCAUGAAAAUGGUCUGGUUCUGACGGAACAACAGAAGCUCAAUGAUUGUAUUUAUCUCUGUGAUUACCAGCAGCCCUUAAAGCCUACCAGCCUGGUCCUGGGAGACAAGUCUUAGGGCCUUCAACCUUGAGUGCCCUUUCCUAUUCUGACCCAGUCCCAGGUUUAUGGGUUGCUAUUUAGCAAAACAGAAGAGCCGGGAGUACAUUUAUGGUUUCAGGGAGAAGGGAAUGGAAUGAGUGUUAUGCAGACAUAAGGGCACAGACUCAGAAAAGAUCAUUUCAGUUAUCAAAUAUACACUCAAGGGUGGGGAAUCAGGAUACAAGCCUAAUCUCUAAUUUCAAUUCCACCCUUCUCGUCCAGAAUUAAUAUAGAUUUACCCAGAUUAAGCAAUUUUCCUCAAAAACAAAAACACUCCUACUUUUAAAAUUUAAAAACAUCUAAGGAAAAUUCAUUAGAAAUGUGAUGAGGUAUUGGAUGUCCAUUAAUAAAAAAGUCAUUGCGAACAUUAUAUUGAAUGCUAUUUCAGGAGUUCUGAAUGUUAAAGCAAACUAUCAAAGAAACAGGAAAAUACCAGCUGCUUUUAAAUUUUAGAUGUAUUGCUUUUACAAAUUCUGAAAUCACAAAGUGUGAACCAAACCGUCAAUCCCCUGUAACAACUCUGUGAGGUAGGUGUCUGCACAGCCACAGGGACCAGCACGGUCCUUUCUUUCCCCGUUGCUUUCAGACGCUGGGAGCUGAAACCACUGUGCUAGUGGGCAGUGAAGACAGUUGUUUCUCAGUCUUGUUUCCACAGACCUACCCAGGUUACCUGCUCCUGGGGUUGGGCCGUAUUUUUGUGCAAGUUACAAUAUUGUUGUUCCCAAAAAAUCAAAUUGUUGCUUUGAUUUAUAUGACCUCACUCUGAAUUAUAGAAGUGUUACUAUGUUUAAAACACUGAUUGACUCUACUUGCUUUAAAUAUUUUCUCAGAUAUCACCUACAUUUAUUAUCAGUGAUCAAUACAGAUGACAUAAUAAGCAGUUCAAAAUUCUGAGAUGUCCACGUUUCCCUUUCAAUUUAAUAAGAUUUCAGAUCAUAUAGUGUUUUUAUAUGUUACCUCUACCAGGAAAGUCUUAUAAUAUGCACAGAAAAUGAAAUCCUUUAAAAAAAUGAUGUUGUUAUAUAGCCCACAUCAAAUCUGUAAUUGGUAGGAAAUGCAUUUCCAGUCUGGUGUAAAAAAUUCCUUCUCAUUAGUUUUUCAAGUUGGUACCUGCAGCUGAAAUGUUUUUCUGUGAUGUAUGCCUCCCAAUUAGACAUUUGAUUUGGAAGUAUAAAAUUAUGAUUCAUGAAGUCUUGAUACGUCAUCUUUCUGCACUUUUUCUCUUAGGAGCACCUAAGCUAUCCUACUCCAGUGUAUUCCAAGAGACUCCCGAUGACCCCAGGUUCGCUCCAGCUCCACCCCUUGAAUUCUGGAAACCAGAAUGUGAAACCUGAUUAUAAAGUUCAAGUUUUCGUUCACUUUCAACUGAUAACAAAGACUUAGAAUGGAAAAGCAGAACUGCUCCAAAUGUAUAAAACUUAGUACUAAAAGAAACACUGACUUUUGCCCAAUAUUGUGCAAUAUUUUAUUGUAAUAAAAAUAUUUAGAUGCAUCUCAUUGCAAUAUAUUAUCAUAUAGGUACUCACUGAGAAGGAAAAAUUGGAUAAAGUAUACAUUUAACAAUAUCUUACUAUAUAUCCAAUUAAUCUGAGUAAUUUGGGGGGAAAGAAGAAGAUAUAAAAAAAAAGCAUCCCUUUUUAUAUAAUUCCAUGUUUUUUUUUCCAGAGAGUUAAUAGACAACACAAUCAAGAUACAGCUGUAAAUUAUUAUAAUGCUAACCCUAAUAUUAGAACCUGCAACAUGUAAAAAUUCCAGUCAUACGUUGCUAGUUAUUUGCCAAAUGAUAAUCAAAUGUUUGUCAUACAGUGGUUUUAAGUUUGUAAGAUACUAUUCAAAUGCAUUACACUGCCAUGGGUCAGUCCUUUUGUUUGAUUUUACACAUUAGCUCAUAUUUUAGUAAACUCUUUUUUCACCUG